CCUACGGGAGGCAGCAGUGGGGAAUAUUGCACAAUGGGGGAAACCCUGAUGCAGCGACGCCGCGUGAGCGAAGAAGUAUUUCGGUAUGUAAAGCUCUAUCAGCAGGGAAGAAAAAUGACGGUACCUGAGUAAGAAGCACCGGCUAAAUACGUGCCAGCAGCCGCGGGAAUACGUAUGGGGCAAGCGUUAUCCGGAUUUACUGGGUGUGAAGGGAGCGCAGGCGGUGCGGCAAGUCUGAUGUGAAAGCCCGG
rnacentral:rRNA from 1 species